GAUGAACGCUGGCGGCGUGCCUAAUACAUGCAAGUCGAGCGGACGGACGAGAAGCUUGCUUCUCUGAUGUUAGCGGCGGACGGGUGAGUAACACGUGGAUAACCUACCUAUAAGACUGGGAUAACUUCGGGAAACCGGAGCUAAUACCGGAUAAUAUUUUGAACCGCAUGGUUCAAAAGUGAAAGACGGUCUUGCUGUCACUUAUAGAUGGAUCCGCGCUGCAUUAGCUAGUUGGUAAGGUAACGGCUUACCAAGGCAACGAUGCAUAGCCGACCUGAGAGGGUGAUCGGCCACACUGGAACUGAGACACGGUCCAGACUCCUACGGGAGGCAGUAGUAGGGAAUCUUCCGCAAUGGGCGAAAGCCUGACGGAGCAACGCCGCGUGAGUGAUGAAGGUCUUCGGAUCGUAAAACUCUGUUAUUAGGGAAGAACAUAUGUGUAAGUAACUGUGCACAUCUUGACGGUACCUAAUCAGAAAGCCACGGCUAACUACGUG
rnacentral:rRNA from 1 species